GUCAAAAUAGGUUUGGGUUGAAAUAGAUCAGACCUGGUGGCUUUGCUCCUAUUGGCAAAAAGGUUGCAAGCGAAGAUGAUACAAUUCCCGAAAAGACUCCACCGAAACUUUAUUGCAUUGCUGACGGUCAGGUUAAGGAUGUAGAUGGUGAAAUUUUGAAAUCUUUACUGGAAAACAACAAAUGCUAUCUAUUGGACUGCGGUUCCGAGGUGUUUGUUUGGGUCGGUCGAGUAACACAAGUGGAUGAAAGAAAAGCUGCCAUGCAGGCUGCUGAGGAGUUCAUUACAGGCCAAAGUCGGCCCAUGGCAACGCGUGUAACUCGGCUUAUUCAAGGUUAAGAAACAUAUUCAUUUAAGUCAAACUUCGA